rnacentral:misc_RNA from 1 species
GCCAGCACUACUCGUUCUUCUUUACUACUCCACUAGUACUUAGUCUUGCUAGUCUCUUUGGAUUCUUGGAAAUUGGAAAGAAGGAAAGAAAAAAAAACAUAGAUUCAAUCCUCGUGGAGUCCAGGGAUCUUAGCAAGCCUGACGACGCACUCCUCCACGGCCCCACACGAGCUCUUGCAAGAGAGCCCGCGCCCACGCAGCCCAAGACCGAGGCCGAGCCUAAGCCCGGCCCAGCCAACCAGCUUCUGGCCCCCCCUGUCGUCUCUCCUGCCGCGGGCGCCGUCCUCCGUGCAGGCCAGGUAGGCUGCAAGGAACGGGUCCUCCGCCGGCCUGACGCCGCGGCUCCUCGGCCUUCUCGUCAUUGGGGGCGAGGCGCCCGGCGCGCUCGGCACUCCUGGAGGUGGCGGCACGCGCAGGCGGUGCCGGUGCGUCGUCGCAGGCGCAGGCGCAGGAGCCUGCUUCUUAGCGCUCGCCGGCGUCCUCCUGCUUACAGCCUCCGCGCGGGGCGCGCCGCCGGCGGUGGUGGGCUUGUUGGCCCCCAAGUGGCUCUGUUUGGACACUCCGGGCUCGUGCUCCCAAGAGAAGGCCACCGUGCUGCUGCCGGACUUGGACGCCGCCACUGCUUCCAGAUUCAUGUCGUUGGCGUCCGAAACUCCUGGAGCUAGCUCGACCGAUCGAACGCGAGCGAUCAAGCUAGGCCAGCAGCAGAAACGCGACGCGCCGAAGGGAUGACACAGAGAAAACCACGGAGACCAAGAGAGCAGAAGGCUGUAGCAACUAGCAACGCGGCAGGAAGAAAAAAAAACGUGUGCGCGCGAUCUGCGGCACCCGUGAGCGAGAGGAUGCGACGGGCUUCUUGGAGCUUUAUAGCAGCAGCAGCAGCAUAAGAAGAAGAAGGCGGGCAUGGUGGGCAGGGCUUGAUCCGCCGAUGGCGACGGCUUCGUUCGGAAAUCAGAA